rnacentral:lncRNA from 1 species
ACUGAAUGAGAUUAGAGACACACAGGUAUUGCAGGUACAGGAUCCCAGACUCGGAAUCUGGCUUCUGGACCGAAGAGAUUUGGGGCAUUGAACAAACCCCUUCAACUUUCUGAGCCUCACUUUCCUCAUCUCUAAAAGUCUGGGGGUAAUGCUUAGUUGGCAGGAUGAUUAUUAACCUCAGAAGAGAUCAGAUUACAAGUGUCUGGCACAGUGUUGUUUAGUUAGGAUGCAUGUGGCUGCCAGAAACAAAAUACUCAACUAAAAGUGACUUCAACGCAAAGGGUUGAUUUUUCUCGAAGAACAGUAACACAGAGGAGGGAUUCCCUGGGUUGGUGCAGGAGCGGAAUGGCAUCGGAGCUCCAGCUCAGUUUCUCUGUGAUUCUCCUGGCUGCAGUAGCUCCAGGCAUCCUGUCCUUCUUCGACAAUGUCCAAAGCAGAAAAAUGGACACAUAUCUUUGCAUGUCUCUCGUCAGGAAAAGUUCAUCCCAGGAGGCCCAGUAACGUUCCUCAGCCUGAAUUGUAUCACAUGACUCUGUCUAGGCUUCAGGCGAAACUGGAAAACUUGGAUACCAGCUGGAAGUUUGUGGGCUGUUUCUCUGCCAAACCCAAUCGAAUCAUUGUCCUUUGGAUUUUAU